GGCGAUCGAACUAAAAAUGUUGGUGUUCUGGAUGCUGAGUACAUAAUCCAUUAUGGUCGCCCUACAUUGGGAGGCUCAGAAGAAAAUGAGGUGAGGAGAGAAUCGUACAACGAAAUGAAGGUGUUCAAAAGGAAAUGGGAACGAGCUGUCAAGGAUGAGCAUAUGGAUCUGAGCAGGAGGCACUUGAGCAUCGACCUCAAAUAGUGGGAGAGGAUGAUUGGAACUAUCUACUUCAAUUAUGGCAAAAAGAUGAGUGGAAGGUCUGAUGGAUAAAGGGCAGAAGACAAUCUACUAGUGAUGAAUCUUAUGUUAUUUGUUUUUGGGAAUCACUUGACAUUUAGGUUGAACUUAAAUAUGUAGCAUUUUGUUUUUGAGACAUCUUGUGAAUUUGUUGGAAGAAUGUUAGAUAUAUGGAUUGCUUUUGAAUGCAAUGAAUUAUUUUAUGCUA